ACCCGCUGAACUUAAGCAUAUCAAUAAGCGGAGGAAAAGAAACUAACAAGGAUUCCCCUAGUAACGGCGAGUGAAGCGGGAAGAGCUCAAAUUUGUAAUCUGGCCUUUUCAAGGUCCGAGUUGUAAUCUCGAGAAGUGUUUUCCGCGUCGGACUGCAUAAAAGUCUAUUGGAAUAUAGCGUCAUAGUGGUGAGAGCCCCGUACUUGAUGCAGAUGCCCGAUGCUUUGUGAUACACUUUCGAAGAGUCGAGUUGUUUGGGAAUGCAGCUCAAAUUGGGUGGUAAAUUCCAUCUAAAGCUAAAUAUUGGCGAGAGACCGAUAGCGAACAAGUACCGUGAGGGAAAGAUGAAAAGCACUUUGGAAAGAGAGUUAACAGUACGUGAAAUUGUUGGAAGGGAAACGCUUGAAAUCAGACUUGCUAUUCGGAAUUCAGCCGCAAGGUGUACUUUUCGAUUUGCAGGCCAGCAUCAGUUUUCGGGAGUGAAAAAGGGUAAAGAGAAGGUGGCAACCUUGGUUGUGUUAUAGCUCUUUACUGGAUUCAUUUUUGGGGACUGAGGAUCGCAAUGCGCAAGUUUGACUUGCAAACCUCUCGAG
rnacentral:rRNA from 1 species